rnacentral:rRNA from 1 species
CGGCGGACGGGUGAGUAACGCGUGGGUAACCUGCCUCAUACAGGGGGAUAACAGUUGGAAACGGCUGCUAAUACCGCAUAAGCGCACAGUACCGCAUGGUACGGUGUGAAAAACUCCGGUGGUAUGAGAUGGGCCCGCGUCUGAUUAGGUAGUUGGUGGGGUAACGGCCUACCAAGCCGACGAUCAGUAGCCGACCUGAGAGGGUGACCGGCCACAUUGGGACUGAGACACGGCCCAA